AGUGAACGCUGGCGGUAGGCCUAACACAUGCAAGUCGAACGGCAGCACAGAGGAGCUUGCUCCUUGGGUGGCGAGUGGCGGACAGGUGAGGAAUACAUCGGAAUCUACUCUGUCGUGGGGGAUAACGUAGGGAAACUUACGCUAAUACCGCAUACGGCCUACGGGUGAAAGCAGGGGAUCUUCGGACCAUGCGCGAUUGAAUGAGCCGAUGUCGGAUUAGCUAGUUGGCGGGGUAAAGGCCCACCAAGGCGACGAUCCGUAGCUGGUCUGAGAGGAUGGUCAGCCACACUGUAACUGAGACACGGACCAGACUCCUACGGGAGGCAGCAGGGGGGAAUAUUGGACAAUGGGCGCAAGCCUGAUCCAGCCAUGCCGCGUGGGUGAAGAAGGCCUUCGGGUUGUAAAGCCCUUUUGUUGGGAAAGAAAUCCAUCUGGUUAAUACCCGGGUGGGAUGACGGUACCCAAAGAAUAAGCACCGGCUAACUUCGUGCCAGCCGCCGCCGUAA
rnacentral:rRNA from 1 species